AGUGAACGCUGGCGGUAGGCCUAACACAUGCAAGUCGAACGGCAGCACAGUAAGAGCUUGCUCUUACGGGUGGCGAGUGGCGGACGGGUGAGGAAUACAUCGGAAUCUACUUUUUCGUGGGGGAUAACGUAGGGAAACUUACGCUAAUACCGCAUACGACCUACGGGUGAAAGCAGGGGAUCUUCUGACCUUGCGCGAUUGAAUGAGCCGAUGUCGGAUUAGCUAGUUGGCGGGGUAAAGGCCCACCAAGGCGACGAUCCGUAGCUGGUCUGAGAGGAUGAUCAGCCACACUGGAACUGAGACACGGUCCAGACUCCUACGGGAGGCAGCAGUGGGGAAUAUUGGACAAUGGGCGCAAGCCUGAUCAAGCCAUACCGCGUGGGUGAAGAAGGCCUUCGGGUUGUAAAGCCCUUUUGUUGGGAAAGAAAAGCAGCAGGUUAAUACCCCGCUGUUCUGACGGUACCCAAAGAAUAAGCACCGGCUAACUUCGUG
rnacentral:rRNA from 1 species